GAUGAACGCUGGCGGCGUGCCUAAUACAUGCAAGUCGAGCGAACAGACGAGGAGCUUGCUCCUCUGACGUUAGCGGCGGACGGGUGAGUAACACGUGGAUAACCUACCUAUAAGACUGGGAUAACUUCGGGAAACCGGAGCUAAUACCGGAUAAUAUAUUGAACCGCAUGGUUCAAUAGUGAAAGACGGUUUUGCUGUCACUUAUAGAUGGAUUCGCGCCGCAUUAGCUAGUUGGUAAGGUAACGCCUUACCAAGGCAACGAUGCGUAGCCGACCUGAGAGGGUGAUCGGCCACACUGGAACUGAGACACGGUCCAGACUCCUACGGGAGGCAGCAGUAGGGAAUCUUCCGCAAUGGGCGAAAGCCUGACGGAGCAACGCCGCGUGAGUGAUGAAGGUCUUCGGAUCGUAAAACUCUGUUAUUAGGGAAGAACAAAUGUGUAAGUAACUAUGCACGUCUUGACGGUACCUAAUCAGAAAGCCACGGCUAACUACGUG
rnacentral:rRNA from 1 species